GAUGAACGCUGGCGGCGUGCCUAAUACAUGCAAGUCGAGCGAACGGACGAGAAGCUUGCUUCUCUGAUGUUAGCGGCGGACGGGUGAGUAACACGUGGAUAACCUACCUAUAAGACUGGGAUAACUUCGGGAAACCGGAGCUAAUACCGGAUAAUAUUUUGAACCGCAUGGUUCAAAAGUGAAAGACGGUCUUGCUGUCACUUAUAGAUGGAUCCGCGCUGCAUUAGCUAGUUGGUAAGGUAACGGCUUACCAAGGCAACGAUGCAUAGCCGACCUGAUAGGGUGAUCGGCCACACUGGAACUGUGACACGGUCCAGACUCCUACGGGAGGCAGCAGUAGGGAAUCUUCCGCAAUGGGCGAAAGCCUGACGGAGCAACGCCGCGUGAGUGAUGAAGGUCUUCGGAUCGUAAAACUCUGUUAUUAGGGAAAAACAUAUGUGUAAGUAACUGUGCACAUCUUGACGGUACCUAAUCAGAAAGCCACGGCUAACUACGUG
rnacentral:rRNA from 1 species